UUAUUCCUCAUUCCGUUUUAUACGUUUCAUUAUCCUAUUACAUUAUCAAUCCUUGCACUUCAGCUUCCUCUA
rnacentral:tRNA from 1 species